AACGUAGGAGGCAAGCGUUAUCCGGAGUUACUGGGCGUAAAGCGUGCGUAGGCGGAUGGGUAAGUGGGUGGUGAAAGCGCCCGGCUAAACCGGGCGAGGACCAUUCAGACUGCUCGUCUAGAGGCGGAUAGAGGGGUGCGGAAUUCCUGGUGUAGCGGUGAAAUGCGCAGAUAUCAGGAAGAACACCUAUGGCGAAGGCAGCUCUCUGGGACGGUACUGACGCUGAGACGCGAAAGCGUGGGGAGCGAACAGG
rnacentral:rRNA from 1 species